AUGCCAUCUGUGUUGUCCCUUGGUCUCUUCCCCCCGGCAGCAACCUUCUUGACGAACGACAGGCGGCGGCAGAAAGAGCCAUUCCAUGACGAAUCUCUGAUGAGAGGGCCAGCAAAAUGUGAUCAAUCAAUGGAGACGAAGUAUUUGUCCAAUUGUUUGCAAGGGUGGCUGUACGAUCUCCGCAGAUUGGCGCUUCUUUGUUCUGUCAGUGGAGAUUCAAUGUAUCACUGCAAAUUCCUUACUGCGUCAGUGUAUCAUAAUUGCUAUCAAACUCUUAAAAAGGAAAAUCAGCUUUAUUCUAAUUUGGCAAAGCUUGGAGGAUAUUUUUACACCAUGAAGAUAAGAGGAUGGGAAGGGAUGAUCUUCAUGAGCCUCAGUGGUACUAUCAUAUUAUCAUAA
rnacentral:rRNA from 1 species